GAUAUGCUUUGGGGAGCUGUAAGUAAGCUUUGAUCCAGAGAUUUCCGAAUGGGGAAACCCAGCAUGAGUUAUGUCAUGUUAUCGAUAUGUGAAUACAUAGCAUAUCAGAAGGCACACCCGGAGAACUGAAACAUCUUAGUACCCGGAGGAAGAGAAAGAAAAUUCGAUUCCCUUAGUAGCGGCGAGCGAAAUGGGAAGAGCCCAAACCAACAAGCUUGCUUGUUGGGGUUGUAGGACACUCUAUACGGAGUUACAAAGGACGACAUUAGACGAAUCAUCUGGAAAGAUGAAUCAAAGAAGGUAAUAAUCCUGUAGUCGAAAAUGUUGUCUCUCUUGAGUGGAUCCUGAGUACGACGGAGCACGUGAAAUUCCGUCGGAAUCUGGGAGGACCAUCUCCUAAGGCUAAAUACUCUCUAGUGACCGAUAGUGAACCAGUACCGUGAGGGAAAGGUGAAAAGCACCCCGGAAGGGGAGUGAAAUAGAACCUGAAACCGUGUGCUUACAAGUAGUCAGAGCCCGUUAAUGGGUGAUGGCGUGCCUUUUGUAGAAUGAACCGGCGAGUUACGAUUUGAUGCAAGGUUAAGCAGUAAAUGUGGAGCCGUAGCGAAAGCGAGUCUGAAUAGGGCGUUUAGUAUUUGGUCGUAGACCCGAAACCAGGUGAUCUACCCUUGGUCAGGUUGAAGUUCAGGUAACACUGAAUGGAGGACCGAACCGACUUACGUUGAAAAGUGAGCGGAUGAACUGAGGGUAGCGGAGAAAUUCCAAUCGAACCUGGAGAUAGCUGGUUCUCUCCGAAAUAGCUUUAGGGCUAGCCUCAAGUGAUGAUUAUUGGAGGUAGAGCACUGUUUGGACGAGGGGCCCCUCUCGGGUUACCGAAUUCAGACAAACUCCGAAUGCCAAUUAAUUUAACUUGGGAGUCAGAACAUGGGUGAUAAGGUCCGUGUUCGAAAGGGAAACAGCCCAGACCACCAGCUAAGGUCCCAAAAUAUAUGUUAAGUGGAAAAGGAUGUGGCGUUGCCCAGACAACUAGGAUGUUGGCUUAGAAGCAGCCAUCAUUUAAAGAGUGCGUAAUAGCUCACUAGUCGAGUGACACUGCGCCGAAAAUGUACCGGGGCUAAACAUAUUACCGAAGCUGUGGAUUGUCCUUUGGACAAUGGUAGGAGAGCGUUCUAAGGGCGUUGAAGCAUGAUCGUAAGGACAUGUGGAGCGCUUAGAAGUGAGAAUGCCGGUGUGAGUAGCGAAAGACGGGUGAGAAUCCCGUCCACCGAUUGACUAAGGUUUCCAGAGGAAGGCUCGUCCGCUCUGGGUUAGUCGGGUCCUAAGCUGAGGCCGACAGGCGUAGGCGAUGGAUAACAGGUUGAUAUUCCUGUACCACCUAUAAUCGUUUUAAUCGAUGGGGGGACGCAGUAGGAUAGGCGAAGCGUGCGAUUGGAUUGCACGUCUAAGCAGUAAGGCUGAGUAUUAGGCAAAUCCGGUACUCGUUAAGGCUGAGCUGUGAUGGGGAGAAGACAUUGUGUCUUCGAGUCGUUGAUUUCACACUGCCGAGAAAAGCCUCUAGAUAGAAAAUAGGUGCCCGUACCGCAAACCGACACAGGUAGUCAAGAUGAGAAUUCUAAGGUGAGCGAGCGAACUCUCGUUAAGGAACUCGGCAAAAUGACCCCGUAACUUCGGGAGAAGGGGUGCUCUUUAGGGUUAACGCCCAGAAGAGCCGCAGUGAAUAGGCCCAAGCGACUGUUUAUCAAAAACACAGGUCUCUGCUAAACCGUAAGGUGAUGUAUAGGGGCUGACGCCUGCCCGGUGCUGGAAGGUUAAGAGGAGUGGUUAGCUUCUGCGAAGCUACGAAUCGAAGCCCCAGUAAACGGCGGCCGUAACUAUAACGGUCCUAAGGUAGCGAAAUUCCUUGUCGGGUAAGUUCCGACCCGCACGAAAGGCGUAACGAUUUGGGCACUGUCUCAACGAGAGACUCGGUGAAAUCAUAGUACCUGUGAAGAUGCAGGUUACCCGCGACAGGACGGAAAGACCCCGUGGAGCUUUACUGUAGCCUGAUAUUGAAAUUCGGCACAGCUUGUACAGGAUAGGUAGGAGCCUUUGAAACGUGAGCGCUAGCUUACGUGGAGGCGCUGGUGGGAUACUACCCUAGCUGUGUUGGCUUUCUAACCCGCACCACUUAUCGUGGUGGGAGACAGUGUCAGGCGGGCAGUUUGACUGGGGCGGUCGCCUCCUAAAAGGUAACGGAGGCGCUCAAAGGUUCCCUCAGAAUGGUUGGAAAUCAUUCAUAGAGUGUAAAGGCAUAAGGGAGCUUGACUGCGAGACCUACAAGUCGAGCAGGGUCGAAAGACGGACUUAGUGAUCCGGUGGUUCCGCAUGGAAGGGCCAUCGCUCAACGGAUAAAAGCUACCCCGGGGAUAACAGGCUUAUCUCCCCCAAGAGUUCACAUCGACGGGGAGGUUUGGCACCUCGAUGUCGGCUCAUCGCAUCCUGGGGCUGUAGUCGGUCCCAAGGGUUGGGCUGUUCGCCCAUUAAAGCGGUACGCGAGCUGGGUUCAGAACGUCGUGAGACAGUUCGGUCCCUAUCCGUCGUGGGCGUAGGAAAUUUGAGAGGAGCUGUCCUUAGUACGAGAGGACCGGGAUGGACAUACCUCUGGUGUACCAGUUGUCGU
rnacentral:rRNA from 1 species